ensembl:lncRNA
UGACAGUGCCUUCUUUUGGAGAAGAGGGGGAGGACAGUUUAUACCUUCAGUUCACUGGAGCUACUUGAUUGCAGACUAACUGAAUGGUCUCUGGAAAGAUUAGGCAAGGCUGCAGGCAUCAGCUACCUCACCACUCUCUGCCUGGACUACACAUGUAUAGUUAAGUUCUCCUGUUGCCUGACCGAACUGGAUCUCGGUGAGAAUCACAUCGGAGAGGACGGUGGGAAAGUGCUUUUAGAGGCCCUGAGAGACAGACAAGUAGGUAUGGAUUUAUAA